rnacentral:rRNA from 1 species
CAGCAGUAGGGAAUCUUCGGCAAUGGACGAAAGUCUGACCGAGCAACGCCGCGUGAGUGAAGAAGGUUUUCGGAUCGUAAAACUCUGUUGGUAGAGAAGAACGUUGGUGAGAGUGGAAAGCUCAUCAAGUGACGGUAACUACCCAGAAAGGGACGGCUAACUACGUGCCAGCAGCCGCGGUAAUACGUAGGUCCCGAGCGUUGUCCGGAUUUAUUGGGCGUAAAGCGAGCGCAGGUGGUUUAUUAAGUCUGGUGUAAAAGGCAGUGGCUCAACCAUUGUACGCAUUGGAAACUGGUAGACUUGAGUGCAGGAGAGGAGAGUGGAAUUCCAUGUGUAGCGGUGAAAUGCGUAGAUAUAUGGAGGAACACCGGUGGCGAAAGCGGCUCUCUGGCCUGUAACUGACACUGAGGCUCGAAAGCGUGGGGAGCAAACAGGAUUAGAUACCCUGGUAGUCCACGCCGUAAACGAUGAGUGCUAGAUGUAGGGAGCUAUAAGUUCUCUGUAUCGCAGCUAACGCAAUAAGCACUCCGCCUGGGGAGUACGACCGCAAGGUUGAAACUCAAAGGAAUUGACGGGGGCCCGCACAAG